GCGCGAAAACUUUACAAUGCUGGCAACAGCGAUAAGGGAACCUCGAGUGCCAGGUUACAAAUCUGGCUGUCGAGAUGCCUAAAAAGCAUUUCAUAGCAAGGGCCGGGCAAGACCGGUGCCAGCCGCCGCGGUAACACCGGCGGCUCGAGUGGUAACCGUUAUUAUUGGGUCUAAAGGGUCUGUAGCCGGCCGGAUAAGUCUCUUGAGAAAUCUGGCAGCUUAACUGUCAGGCUUUCAGGAGUUACUGUGUGGCUCGAGGCCGGGAGGGGUGAGAGGUACUUCAGGGGUAGGGGUGAAAUCUUGUAGGCCUUGAAGGACCACCAGUGGCGAAGGCGUCGCACCAGAACGGACCUGACGGGAAGGGACGAAAGCUAGGGGCACGAACA
rnacentral:rRNA from 1 species